rnacentral:rRNA from 15 species
UUGACCUCGGAUCAGGUAGGGAUACCCGCUGAACUUAAGCAUAUCAAAA